rnacentral:rRNA from 1 species
UUAAGCGACUAAGCGUACACGGUGGAUGCCCUGGCAGUCAGAGGCGAUGAAGGACGUGCUAAUCUGCGAUAAGCGUCGGUAAGGUGAUAUGAACCGUUAUAACCGGCGAUUUCCGAAUGGGGAAACCCAGUGUGUUUCGACACACUAUCAUUAACUGAAUCCAUAGGUUAAUGAGGCGAACCGGGGGAACUGAAACAUCUAAGUACCCCGAGGAAAAGAAAUCAACCGAGAUUCCCCCAGUAGCGGCGAGCGAACGGGGAGCAGCCCAGAGCCUGAAUCAGUGUGUGUGUUAGUGGAAGCGUCUGGAAAGGCGCGCGAUACAGGGUGACAGCCCCGUACACAAAAAUGCACAUGCUGUGAGCUCGAUGAGUAGGGCGGGACACGUGGUAUCCUGUCUGAAUAUGGGGGGACCAUCCUCCAAGGCUAAAUACUCCUGACUGACCGAUAGUGAACCAGUACCGUGAGGGAAAGGCGAAAAGAACCCCGGCGAGGGGAGUGAAAAAGAACCUGAAACCGUGUACGUACAAGCAGUGGGAGCACGCUUCGGCGUGUGACUGCGUACCUUUUGUAUAAUGGGUCAGCGACUUAUAUUCUGUAGCAAGGUUAACCGAAUAGGGGAGCCGAAGGGAAACCGAGUCUUAACUGGGCGUUAAGUUGCAGGGUAUAGACCCGAAACCCGGUGAUCUAGCCAUGGGCAGGUUGAAGGUUGGGUAACACUAACUGGAGGACCGAACCGACUAAUGUUGAAAAAUUAGCGGAUGACUUGUGGCUGGGGGUGAAAGGCCAAUCAAACCGGGAGAUAGCUGGUUCUCCCCGAAAGCUAUUUAGGUAGCGCCUCGUGAAUUCAUCUCCGGGGGUAGAGCACUGUUUCGGCAAGGGGGUCAUCCCGACUUACCAACCCGAUGCAAACUGCGAAUACCGGAGAAUGUUAUCACGGGAGACACACGGCGGGUGCUAACGUCCGUCGUGAAGAGGGAAACAACCCAGACCGCCAGCUAAGGUCCCAAAGUCAUGGUUAAGUGGGAAACGAUGUGGGAAGGCCCAGACAGCCAGGAUGUUGGCUUAGAAGCAGCCAUCAUUUAAAGAAAGCGUAAUAGCUCACUGGUCGAGUCGGCCUGCGCGGAAGAUGUAACGGGGCUAAACCAUGCACCGAAGCUGCGGCAGCGACGCUGAUGCGUUGUUGGGUAGGGGAGCGUUCUGUAAGCCUGCGAAGGUGUGCUGUGAGGCAUGCUGGAGGUAUCAGAAGUGCGAAUGCUGACAUAAGUAACGAUAAAGCGGGUGAAAAGCCCGCUCGCCGGAAGACCAAGGGUUCCUGUCCAACGUUAAUCGGGGCAGGGUGAGUCGACCCCUAAGGCGAGGCCGAAAGGCGUAGUCGAUGGGAAACAGGUUAAUAUUCCUGUACUUGGUGUUACUGCGAAGGGGGGACGGAGAAGGCUAUGUUGGCCGGGCGACGGUUGUCCCGGUUUAAGCGUGUAGGCUGGUUUUCCAGGCAAAUCCGGAAAAUCAAGGCUGAGGCGUGAUGACGAGGCACUACGGUGCUGAAGCAACAAAUGCCCUGCUUCCAGGAAAAGCCUCUAAGCAUCAGGUAACAUCAAAUCGUACCCCAAACCGACACAGGUGGUCAGGUAGAGAAUACCAAGGCGCUUGAGAGAACUCGGGUGAAGGAACUAGGCAAAAUGGUGCCGUAACUUCGGGAGAAGGCACGCUGAUAUGUAGGUGAAGUCCCUUGCGGAUGGAGCUGAAAUCAGUCGAAGAUACCAGCUGGCUGCAACUGUUUAUUAAAAACACAGCACUGUGCAAACACGAAAGUGGACGUAUACGGUGUGACGCCUGCCCGGUGCCGGAAGGUUAAUUGAUGGGGUCAGCGCAAGCGAAGCUCUUGAUCGAAGCCCCGGUAAACGGCGGCCGUAACUAUAACGGUCCUAAGGUAGCGAAAUUCCUUGUCGGGUAAGUUCCGACCUGCACGAAUGGCGUAAUGAUGGCCAGGCUGUCUCCACCCGAGACUCAGUGAAAUUGAACUCGCUGUGAAGAUGCAGUGUACCCGCGGCAAGACGGAAAGACCCCGUGAACCUUUACUAUAGCUUGACACUGAACAUUGAGCCUUGAUGUGUAGGAUAGGUGGGAGGCUUUGAAGUGUGGACGCCAGUCUGCAUGGAGCCGACCUUGAAAUACCACCCUUUAAUGUUUGAUGUUCUAACGUUGACCCGUAAUCCGGGUUGCGGACAGUGUCUGGUGGGUAGUUUGACUGGGGCGGUCUCCUCCUAAAGAGUAACGGAGGAGCACGAAGGUUGGCUAAUCCUGGUCGGACAUCAGGAGGUUAGUGCAAUGGCAUAAGCCAGCUUGACUGCGAGCGUGACGGCGCGAGCAGGUGCGAAAGCAGGUCAUAGUGAUCCGGUGGUUCUGAAUGGAAGGGCCAUCGCUCAACGGAUAAAAGGUACUCCGGGGAUAACAGGCUGAUACCGCCCAAGAGUUCAUAUCGACGGCGGUGUUUGGCACCUCGAUGUCGGCUCAUCACAUCCUGGGGCUGAAGUAGGUCCCAAGGGUAUGGCUGUUCGCCAUUUAAAGUGGUACGCGAGCUGGGUUUAGAACGUCGUGAGACAGUUCGGUCCCUAUCUGCCGUGGGCGCUGGAGAACUGAGGGGGGCUGCUCCUAGUACGAGAGGACCGGAGUGGACGCAUCACUGGUGUUCGGGUUGUCAUGCCAAUGGCACUGCCCGGUAGCUAAAUGCGGAAGAGAUAAGUGCUGAAAGCAUCUAAGCACGAAACUUGCCCCGAGAUGAGUUCUCCCUGACUCCUUGAGAGUCCUGAAGGAACGUUGAAGACGACGACGUUGAUAGGCCGGGUGUGUAAGCGCAGCGAUGCGUUGAGCUAACCGGUACUAAUGAACCGUGAGGCUUAACCUU